rnacentral:rRNA from 1 species
GGGAUGAGCUCAAAUUUUGAAUCUGGCGGUGUUUGACCGUCCGAGUUGUAAUCUAGAGAAGCGUUUUCCGCGCUGGACCGUGUACAAGUCUCCUGGAAGGGAGCGUCAUAGAGGGUGAGAAUCCCGUCUUUGACACGGACUACCAGUGCUAUGUGAUGCGCUCUCGACGAGUCGAGUUGUUUGGGAAUGCAGCUCAAAACGGGUGGUAAAUUCCAUCUAAAGCUAAAUACAGGCGAGAGACCGAUAGCGAACAAGUACCGUGAGGGAAAGAUGAAAAAGAACUUUGGAAAGAGAGUUAAACAGUACGUGAAAUUGCUGAAAGGGAAACGCUUGAUGUCAGUCGCGUCGACUGGGGAUCAACCCUCGUCCUUUUGGACUGGGCGUACUUCCUGGAUCGAUGGGUCAGCAUCAGUUUCGAUUCCAUUGUACAAGGGUGAAGGGAAUGUGGCACUCUUCGGAGUGUGUUAUAGCCUUUCUUCGAAUGCAGUGGUUGGGACUGAGGAACUCAGCACGGCUUCUGGCCUGUUGCUUAGGAUGCUGGCAUAAUGGCCUUAAGCGACCCGUCUUGAAACACGGACCAAGGAGUCUAACAUGCCUGCGAGUGUUUGGGUGGCAAACUCGAGCGCGAAAUGAAAGUGAAAGUUGAGACCUCCGUCAUGGAGGGCAUCGACGCCCGGACCAGAGUCUUUGACGAAGGAUCUGCGGUAGAGCAUGUAUGUUGGGACCCGAAAGAUGGUGAACUAUGCCUGAAUAGGGUGAAGCCAGAGGAAACUCUGGUGGAGGCUCGUAGCGAUUCUGACGUGCAAAUCGAUCGUCGAAUUUGGGUAUAGGGCGAAAGAC